GAAACGGCAUUUUAAAACACAACAGAGACCAUUAUGUAAUUCAGGUACGCCUAGGGUUGCCUUAACGACAAAGGUUUUAGUUCAUUGCCAACACCCAUCUACACUAGAAAGGGAAUCCUCCCUUCAGUGGAAUGUACCAAACCACUGAACCUGACACAGGCUGUAAACUGCUCAGUUGUUGGACAAUCAAAUUUGUAAAUGGUUGAAAUCGCUGUCCAGGGGAAUGCUGGGUUGUCUCUUGGUUGAAAACUUAAAUAAGACCUUAAAGCAAAGCAGAGAGGGAUCAUAUAUCUUCUGCAUCUUGUGCACCUAUAUGAGCUCGAACCGAUCAAAGACCUGAACAAACAUCCACCCUAGACACUCAGACAAAGACUGUAGACCGCCACCACAAGACCUUAGUGUCGUCCAAUCAGAUGUCUGCCGAGGUCAGCAUGUUUCUGCCAAUCAGGAAUGAAGCGGAAGGCGCUGAUGAAGGAUCAGGAAGCUUAGAAAAUGGUCCUUAAUGACAGAGAUUCCUAAGAUGUGGCUGAUGGCGGUGAUGGGGUCGAGGCCUGGCGUGAUGGCCAGAGUAAAGUGCAGUCAGUGUGGGAGGAGUGGGUGACCGUUAACCUUUCUACGAAACUGAACUUUGACCUCUAUGCUUUGCCUGAAGGUGACGGCCUGAGCAACCUCCACUGUUAAAACUGGACAUAAAUAUAUCCUCCUCUCACAAAUUUCAAUUCAAUAUACACAUGUUAAUAUUACUAAAGAUGUACAGAUAACUCCUUUCUAUAUGUUGUUCAGGUG